rfam:Oryza glumipatula chromosome 10, whole genome shotgun sequence.
GUGGCAAUGAUGAGAAUGCAAUUCUAUGAUGUACUUUGAUUUUUCUAUGAUACUCUGAGCCAU